GCAGACGUCCCUUCCCCAGCCAGGCUGCCACCUCGCAGUUCAAUCUCAGACUGCUGUGCUAGCAGUGGGGAAGGCUCCGUGGGCAUGGAAACUGCCGAGCCAGGCACAGUAGAGAAUCACCUUGUCUGCCGGUUGCUAAGACCUUUGGAAAAGUGCAGUAUUUGGGUGAGAGUGUCCUAUUUUUCCAGGUACAGUCUGUCACGUCUUCCCUUGGCUAGGAAAGGGAAAUCCCCCGACCCCUUACACUUUCCGGGUGAGGCAACGCCCCACUCUGCUUCAGCUCACCCUCCAUGGGCUGCACUCACCUUCCAACCAGUCUCAAUGAGAUGAACCAGGUACCUCAGUUGGAAAUGCAGAAAUCACCCGUCUUCUGCGUCAAUCACGCUGAGAACUGCAGACCAGAGCUGUUCCUAUUUGGCCAUCUUGGAACCGGUCUGAGUCUGUUUUAGCCAGAUCAAGUACUUGCAGACACUUGAAGAAGCAUCUUUCUUGUGAUCUCCUGGCUGGUACCCUGAAGUCCUGUUAUGCCAAUGGACCAGCAACCCUCGCAGGUAGGAAUUACUGCUAGAAAGACUAUCCUCUCUGCAGGCAAAUUUCUGGAAGGAUACUAUUUUAUGGGGAAAAAUGUGAACAACUGUAGGUAAUUUCACAGUCUGUAGGGCUUGUCUCCUAUUUGUAAUUUCUUACAUGUUUACUCGUGGUGGAAAUGUGGAGGUGGCUAAGGAACAAGCAGGCCCGCUGUGUUUCAGUGGCUUUCAGAGAAGGUGGCGGGAAAUAGUCUCUUCUCAGCAGCAGCUGAAUCCCAGUGUUAGCAGACGGAGCCUUGUUUCUUGAAAGUACAUUCCCAGGGAUUCCCUUGAAGAAUGUGAGAGAUCAGCUGGAAUGAAACUGGAUGUUUUAGGGUCCUGAGGGAAAUGUAAAUCCAGCAGCUUAUUCUCAAGAUGUGGCUCCAGAACCAGCAGCACUGAUUCUUCUAAAGAGUUGAGAGUGCAUUUUAGCUGUGAUAUCUUUGUACUCUUAAGAAAUCCUCCUCAACAAGACAAAACUUGACCAAGAGCAUUCAGUUGUCUUCCAGAAGGCUCCCUUGAGGACUGGGACUCUUCCUGGAUGCACCCAAUUAAUCUAUUGAAACAAGGACUCGUGAUGGCAGCCCCUCACCUGACAAACUGGAUUUUCCCCAGAGAUCAUUUGUAAUGUUUUUCCUGAAUCUUAUUUGUGUUUCCCUAUUAGCAAUGUUAUGUAUUUCUAUAUCGCAAAUCCUAAGUGCCGCCUGUAGAACCUAACCUCCAUUUAUAGCAUGGAACACACAGCCCAUCACGUAUCCUUGCCCUGGCCUUCAGCCUCUGAAUAUUUUAAUAAAAAUCACUCUUUC
rnacentral:lncRNA from 10 species